rnacentral:rRNA from 1 species
CCCUUCGGGGGUGAGUACAGCGGCGGACGGGUGAGUAACACGUGAGCGAUCCACCUCGAGGCGGGGGACAACCCAGGGAAACCUGGGCUAAUACCGCAUACAGCGGCAGGCAUGGAAGCCUGUCGUGAAAGCUGGCCUCUCCAUGGAAGCUAGCGCCUCUGGACGAGCUCGCGGCCUAUCAGCUCGUUGGUGAGGUAACGGCUCACCAAGGCGAUGACGGGUAGCUGGCGUGAGAGCGCGAUCAGCCACACUGGGACUGAGACACGGCCCAGACUCCUACGGGAGGCAGCAGUGGGGAAUCUUGCACAAUGGGCGAAAGCCUGAUGCAGCGACGCCGCGUGGGGGAGGAAGGCCCUAGGGUUGUAAACCCCUGUCAGGUGGGACGAACCGGAGAUCGGCGAAAGCCGGUUUCUCUGACGGUACCACCAGAGGAAGCUCCGGCUAACUCCGUGCCAGCAGCCGCGGUAAAACGGAGGGAGCAAGCGUUGUUCGGAAUUACUGGGCGUAAAGGGCGCGUAGGCGGCCCUGUAAGUCGCAUGUGAAAGGCCGGGGCUCAACCCCGAGUAUUGCAUGCGAUACUGCAAGGCUAGAGACAGGUAGGGGCGAGCGGAAUUCCCGGUGUAGCGGUGGAAUGCGUAGAUAUCGGGAAGAACACCGGUGGCGAAGGCGGCUCGCUGGGCCUGUUCUGACGCUGAAGCGCGAAAGCGUGGGGAGCGAA